UACGGAGGGUGCAAGCGUUGCUCGGAAUUAUUGGGCGUAAAGGGUAGGUAGGUGGUCUCAUUUGUCUGGGGUGAAAGCCUUGGGCUUAACUCAAGAAGUGCCCCAGAAACGGUGAGACUAGAGUCCUGGAGAGGGUCGUGGAAUUCCCGGUGUAGCGGUGAAAUGCGUAGAGAUCGGGAGGAACACCAGAGGCGAAGGCGGCGACCUGGACAGGAACUGACACUCAACUACGAAAGCGUGGGGAGCAAACAGG
rnacentral:rRNA from 1 species